CGGGAGAGUAGUACAAGAUGGCGUCAGAAAGCUCGUAGGGGUUAGGUAUACGGCCUUGUAGGCCAUUGUGAGGAGUUUGGCUUUUACUCUAGGUGAGACGGGAACCCACUGGAGAGUUUUAAGCAAAGACAUGACAUGGUCUCACUUCGGAUUUAACAAUUCUGGCUCCUUUUCGAGCGUAGACUGGAGGGGGCCAAUUAGGAGGCUGCUGCAAUAAUCUAGGUGAGAGACGACGGCAAGGGUGAGAGAUUAUAGACCAGGGUGGUAGCAGUGGAGUAAUGAAAAGUAUGAUUCCAGAAAUAUCCAAGACAAUUUCCUGGCAGAUUUGAUGUGAGGUGUGAUUAAAGAAGAACCAAGAAUGACUUUAGUGUUGUUGGCCUGAGCAACUGGAAGAACAGAGUUGCCAUUUAUUGAGAUGAGAAGGCUGCCGGAAGAGUAGAGCUUUUUAGCUUGGGGCAGUGUGAAGAAG
rnacentral:lncRNA from 1 species